CUGCGGGCACUUGCACAUGAAUCCUCCUCUCAAGGAGAAUACGUGUGGAUCAUGGACUAGAAUAAUGACAAUGGGAAUGGGGAAAACUAGUUGGAUCAAAGAAAUAUUUUGGAGAUUUUCUUCAAAUAUGUCAAUUAAGACUACGUAUCACAACAGAUUGAAUGCUGAAGUGGACAGAAAAACCCACUGUCUUUCUUUAAAUCAGAAAACUACCUUGGACUACGAGGGUGUGGGGUGAGCCAGCCAUUACCCCCACCCUGAAGCCUGUCCCCCUUUUCUUCUCCAUGGACUACAAGGGGUCUUGAGGGCAUGCAGGUGAACACCCAGAUCACAAGUCCAAGCAGAUACCCACCUGCUGCAAACAGCUACCUAUUGGCCACCUUUUGGGCCUAGGGGUAUGCAUAUCUACAGCGACAUCCACUUUCAGAAGGACAGACACUUUGAAGAAACCUAUGUAGGCCCUGGAGGCAGGAUUUGGACCAUUUGGGCAAGAAAUCCAGGGUUCCAGGUACUCAUGGCUUGGUCAAAAUAGAAGGUUCCAGCUGGGCCCUUCUCUACCUUGUAGAUUCUCCAUUCCCAGAGGAACAUAGUCAGAAAAGGGCCAUAGUGGAGCCCUUUGAAUCAACAAAAGACCUCUUCCCUCUGUUUCUUGGGUCUAAAGGCAGUACUCUGUCAAAUCCUUUAUCAACUCUGAACCACAGUUUUCUCUCUAUAAACUCAGAUGGUCAGAAUAAAUUCAAUCUCAUACCAAUC
rnacentral:lncRNA from 10 species